GGAGGUAAGCAUAUUUCAAUAGUAUUGUAAAAAGAAUAUUGCAAAAUCAUCUAUAGACUAUAGUAGUGGUUCCCUCCAAACGACAUCGUAAAUAACAAAGUGGUUCAACCACGUCGUUUAAAAGUUUUAAUUGGAACCCUAGUUUACAUAGAAAUGAAAUGAACCGUAUAACUUCCAGUGACCAAAUUAAAUUGGUGGUCAAAUUUGUUACAAAAUAAAGUUGCAAGGAUUUAAAUGCAACAUUUUAAAAUUUUGGGGUUUAAUAAUUUGCAGUAAGAGUAAAAAGUUUUUCCUGAAGCGACACUCGGAUAAAUCAAACCUACAUAAAAAAUCUAUUUCGUAUGAUGAAUCAUGUGUUACAAUAAUCUCGUGUAGUUUGCUGUAAAGUGUACUCUGGGUACAUCAACGAACGAGUAAUAACUAUAGUUUAUUUUAAUUGUGAUUAGGUGUAAUUCUCAUCUAUAAAAUAAAUGAUCUACAUAGAUCAAUUGACACAAAAAAAAAAAGCUAUUGUGAUAAAGCUGAGACAUUCAAAGACUCUUUUAUGAGUAAUUUUGGGUUCAAUCUCGCCUACGUGCGGUGUAAUUUUUUCACCUUUAUUUGGGUAGUUGUCCCAUCUGCGUGCGAUUAUUUUUCCACUUUUAUGUGGUGUAGAGGUCCCGUCU
rnacentral:lncRNA from 1 species